rnacentral:rRNA from 1 species
AGCAGCCGCGGUAAUUCCAGCUCCAAUAGCGUAUAUUAAAGUUGUUGCAGUUAAAAAGCUCGUAGUUGAAUUUCGGGGUUAGUAGGUUGGUCAUGCCUCUGGUAUGUACUGGUCUCACUGAUUCCUCCUUCCUGAUGAGCCGUAAUGCCAUUAAUUUGGUGUUGCGGGGAAUUUGGACUGUUACUUUGAAAAAAUUAGAGUGUUUAAAGCAGGCUUACGCUUGAAUACAUUAGCAUGGAAUAAUGAAAUAGGACGUUUGAACCUAUUUUGUUGGUUUCUAGGAUCGACGUAAUGAUUAAUAGGGAUAGUUGGGGGCAUUAGUAUUCAAUUGUCAGAGGUGAAAUUCUUGGAUUUAUUGAAGACUAACUACUGCGAAAGCAUUUGCCAAGGAUGUUUUCAUUAAUCAAGAACGAAAGUUAGGGGAUCGAAGACGAUCAGAUACCGUCGUAGUCUUAACCAUAAACUAUGCCGACUAGGGAUCGGAUGAUGUAAUUUUUAAUGACUCAUUCGGCGCCUAAC